rnacentral:rRNA from 1 species
GACGAACGCUGGCGGCGUGCUUAACACAUGCAAGUCGAACGGAAAGGCCCUGCUUUUGUGGGGUGCUCGAGUGGCGAACGGGUGAGUAACACGUGAGUAACCUGCCCUUGACUUUGGGAUAACUUCAGGAAACUGGGGCUAAUACCGGAUAGGAGCUCCUGCUGCAUGGUGGGGGUUGGAAAGUUUCGGCGGUUGGGGAUGGACUCGCGGCUUAUCAGCUUGUUGGUGGGGUAGUGGCUUACCAAGGCUUUGACGGGUAGCCGGCCUGAGAGGGUGACCGGACAAAUUGGGACUGAGAUACGGACGAGACUCCUACGGGAGGCAGCAGUGGGGAAUAUUGCACAAUGGGCGGAAGCCUGAUGCAGAAACGCCGCGUGCGGGAUGACGGCCUUCGGGUUGUAAAAAGCUUUCGCCUGUGACGAAGCGUGAGUGACGGUAAUGGGUAAAGAAGCACCGGCUAACUACGUG